ensembl:lncRNA
GUAAAAAACGUUGGUUGUUUUUUUUAACCCAACCGUUGGGUUACACAUAUUGGGUCAAUCUGUUGGGUUAUCUUAAAAUUUGUUGGGUCAUUUAUUUUCUGCGUUGGGUUAUUUUUAGUUAUAACCCAACUGUUGGGUUAAAUAUGUUUCCCGCUUCACUCCGGUUCAAAUUUUAACGGUCCAGUCAGCGACUCAGUGGACAUCAGCGGCAGCCUGCCUGAUUAUGAAAGAUAAAUGGAUUUCUUUGUAAAGGAAAGAUUACAACAGUGGAACCUCUGCAAUUUAAUAGAAACAUUUCAAGCCUGUAGCCUGGUUUCUUCUCCCUCUGCCACCAAAAAGGAGCUCUUUGCCACAGUUGCCUGUGACUUGCUCAUCAAAGCAUUAAAGGAGCUUCAGUGUUUACAGUACUGGCCAAUGCAUGCGUGUGAUGCUGACGGAGGAGCCGUUCAAUAAUGAGUCAGCGUUUGGAUGUGAGUACACGGAAGCUCUGAACUGCAUUCACUACGUCAACUGCGUUGGUACUAAUAUGGUGCACUACCUCAAUAAUGAGACAAGCCAGGAUCCACAUGUCUUGGUGCUUGGAGACAAAGAAAAUUCCUCCCAAGUUUUUAUCAUUUUCAUUGGAGAGGCAGUUGAAAAGGAGACCUUACUUCAAGCAGUGAACGUAUGCUUCAAAAUGUUCUACAUCUAUGACAUAAACUACCCAAAGCCCUCUCCUCCAAUUUGGGAGUUCUUGCAGCAUGCAGUCUAUAAUAUUCCUGGAGGAGUUCCUUUUGCACAUUGCUGCCUCCUAAAAAACUUUGUAUUCAAAGUUACUGAUCAUCAGUAGAUCCAGUAGCCAAAACACAAAUUAAAGGGUUAGUUCACACAAAAAUGAAAAUUCUGUCAUUAAUUACUCACCCUCAUGUUGUUCCAAACCCAAGACCUCCGUUCAUCUUUGGAACACAAAUUAAGAUAUUUUUGCAUUCUGACAGCUCUCUGACCCUCCCAUAGACAGCAAGGGUCCUUACACCAUCAAUGUCCAGAAACUUAGCAAGGAGAUUGGUAAAAUAAUCCAUGUGACAUCAGGGGUUCAACUGUAACAGCAUACGCUGUUGAGUGGAUACUGUCCAAAAUGGCACUAGGGUGACACGGAGGAGACGAAUUGUUGAAUAAAGUCAUAAUUUUUUUGCUUUUGCCCACAAAAAGUAUUCUCGUAUAAUAUUACGGUUGAACCCCUGAUGUCACAUGGAUUAUUUUACCAAUCCUUGCUAAGUUUCUGGACGUUGAUGGUGUAAGGACCCUUGCUGUCUAUGAACGGUCAGAGAGCUGUCAGAAUGCAUCAAAAAUAUCUUAACUUGUGUUCCAA